rnacentral:rRNA from 1 species
GAUGAACGCUGGCGGCGUGCCUAAUACAUGCAAGUCGAGCGAACAGACGAGGAGCUUGCUCCUCUGACGUUAGCGGCGGACGGGUGAGUAACACGUGGAUAACCUACCUAUAAGACUGGGAUAACUUCGGGAAACCGGAGCUAAUACCGGAUCAUAUAUUGAACCGCAUGGUUUAUUAGUGAAAGACGGUUUUGCUGUCACUUAUAGAUGGAUCCGCGCCGCAUUAGCUAGUUGGUAAGGUAACGGCUUACCAAGGCAACGAUGCGUAGCCGACCUGAGAGGGUGAUCGGCCACACUGGAACUGAGACACGGUCCAGACUCCUACGGGAGGCAGCAGUAGGGAAUCUUCCGCAAUGGGCGAAAGCCUGACGGAGCAACGCCGCGUGAGUGAUGAAGGUCUUCGGAUCGUAAAACUCUGUUAUUAGGGAAGAACAAAUGUGUAAGUAACUAUGCACGUCUUGACGGUACCUAAUCAGAAAGCCACGGCUAACUACGUG